GGAGCUUUGAAUUGGCUGCAGGUGUUCAUUGAGUUUUGAACAUAUAAGUGAAAAGGCAAAACCAAGCAAAAGGGCAUAGAUUGUCAGAAUGUGUGCUUGUUCGACAUAAAAAUUACAAAUGCAUUAUAGAGCUUUGGUUACUAUAAUAGGGAUGAGCUUAACUAUACAGAGGAAGUACAAAAAAGGACAGUUAAACAAAAACAUUGUUUUGGUGGGGUGUGAGUGUUAAGCAAGUCUGGAUGAUGAGCUAUUGAGGUUGUAAUUUAGAAGAAAAAAAAACAUAUUUAGUUAAAACUGCUCUGAAACAGAUUUUUGCAUGUAAAAUAUAUGAAAAGCGGGUUUCAUAAAUAAAAA